rnacentral:rRNA from 1 species
CCUACGGGAGGCAGCAGUAGGGAAUCUUCCACAAUGGACGAAAGUCUGAUGGAGCAACGCCGCGUGAGUGAAGAAGGGUUUCGGCUCGUAAAGCUCUGUUGGUAGUGAAGAAAGAUAGAGGAAGUAACUGGCCUUUAUUUGACGGUAAUUACUUAGAAAGUCACGGCUAACUACGUGCCAGCAGCCGCGGUAAUACGUAGGUGGCAAGCGUUGUCCGGAUUUAUUGGGCGUAAAGCGGGUGCAGGCGGUUCAAGAAGUCUGAUGUGAAAGCCUUCGGCUCAACCGGAGAAUUGCAUCAAAAACUGUUGAACUUGGGUGCAGAAGAGGAGGGGGGAGCUCCAUGUGUGGCGUUGGAGUGCG